rnacentral:tRNA from 1 species
GCCGUAGCCUUGGGCUUGUGGUGCUUCUACAGGAACGCCCCCUCGCGCGAAACCUGCCGGCCCGAGCCGCAUGGAUUGAAAAUCCUCGUGUCGGUGGUUCGAUUCCGCCCCCGGGCACCA